rnacentral:rRNA from 1 species
AGAUUGAACGCUGGCGGCAUGCCUUACACAUGCAAGUCGAACGGCAGCACGGGGGCAACCCUGGUGGCGAGUGGCGAACGGGUGAGUAAUGCAUCGGAACGUGCCCAGUAGUGGGGGAUAACUAGUCGAAAGAUUAGCUAAUACCGCAUACGACCUAUGGGUGAAAGCGGGGGAUUCGCAAGAACCUCGCGCUAUCGGAGCGGCCGAUGUCUGAUUAGCUAGUUGGCGGGUAAAAGCCCACCAAGGCUUCGAUCAGUAGCUGGUCUGAGAGGACGACCAGCCACACUGGGACUGAGACACGGCCCAGACUCCUACGGGAGCAGCAGUGGGGAAUUUGGAC